rnacentral:rRNA from 1 species
CCUACGGGGGGCAGCAGUGGGGAAUUUUGCGCAAUGGGCGAAAGCCUGACGCAGCAACGCCGCGUGUGUGAUGAAGGCCCUUGGGUUGUAAAGCACUGUGGGCAGGGAAGAAAAAACGGGGGUUGUACUCCGUCUUGACGGUACCUGUUUAGAAAGCACCGGCUAACUCCGUGCCAGCAGCCGCGGUAAUACGGAGGGUGCAAGCGUUGUUCGGAAUUAUUGGGCGUAAAGGGCGUGUAGGUGGCUUACCAAGUCUGUUGUGAAAUCCCACGGCUCAACCGUGGAACUGCAAUGGAAACUGGUGAGCUCGAGUGUUGGAGGGGGUCGCGGAAUUCCCGGUGUAGAGGUGAAAUUCGUAGAUAUCGGGAGGAACACCAGUGGCGAAGGCGGCGACCUGGCCAAAUACUGACACUGAGACGCGAAAGCGUGGGUAGCAAACAGGAUUAGAUACCCUUGUAGUC